rnacentral:lncRNA from 1 species
UAUUUAAAAUUCGCUAAGUUGAUCAUUAGCUAAUAGUUUUAAAGGAAAUUAGUUGUCGCAAUCAAGAUUUUGACUAUUUUUACCAAUCCUCUAGAAAAGGCAUCAGCAACAGGUUGUUGACUAAUGGUUUAUCAUCAAAAUUUUAUAUUACUGGCGGUAAGAAUAAAGAGAAGUUUGAAGGAACACACAUUUGUAUGGUUGUUACCUGUAAUACCAAUUAAAGCAACUGAUACAAGUGCUUAAUUAAGAAAAGGAAUAAUGACUUAUCUAAAAUACGCACACGACAGAUAGAAUGAUGGUGGUCGGCGCGUAUAAGACGAUUCACCAGAUAUAUAACAUUCAUACUUUUUUCUAAUUGUUCUGGAACUAUUGUUAAAUAAAAUAUUUUUUUUCUGUUUGCAUUGUAAAAUAAUGUCCCUUAAAGCAUUUUAGUUGUGCCUGAUCUAGUUGAAUCUGAUUAUUUUACGUGAAAUA